GACGUCAUCACAAAAAGAGUAUAAAAGGCGUCAAGAACGCGACGCUCAUUCUUGCACUCACCACUGACAGCGAGAGCCACGUCGCUCCGGUCCACCUGCUGCGCCGGCCGUACAACAGCGUUUGAAAGUGACAAGCGUCUAGUUGCACUUUGGGAGUGUUCCCAUCUUGCAAAAGUUUGCAGACGCUAGCGUUAGCAGUUAACAUCUUCAACGACCACCAAAACGCAUUUGUCUGGCGUGCAACCAAACAAUUGAAGCAGUUAACGGUGGCAACGUCUGGACGACAGCGCCGUUUGGCCGAAGGUGCAAACCCUUAAAACGAUCCCGUCAUGGCCGACUGACUUUCUGUGAGUUUUAAAGUAGACUCAUUCAAUCGAAUGCUUUUAAUGGUCUUCUCAUUUCUGUCCACA